CUGGUAGAGGCGACGCUGUGUGCGUUUAUGGAGCGCUUGCGAUGGACAGAAGUGAGGACAUUCAUCGGCCGCAUUUUACUAAUGGCAAGGAGAUAGCGACUGAAGGGCAAGAACCUAGGGUUUCCUGUCUUUGAUAUUUCUCAUCUUUGAGGUAAGUACACCUGGACAGUCCCUUCCUUCCUCCUCAGGGCUCAUGCUUUCUUGCCUAUCCAUGUAAUUAAUAUGAUCUGGCUAUCUUUGUCUUUGUUCCGAAACUUCAGCUGCAAAUGAAAGUGUAAGUUAGGUCUGAGUCUGCACUAUUGACCUAGCUAUCCUAGGUUAAGGGGGAUAAAAUAGGAAUCAAGAAGCCUGGCCCACUUGGGCUCCCAGCUCAAGUGCAUUCUGCAAUCCAGUUUAUAUUAGGCCUCCAUGUGGGUGGCUAUCCUUUAUCAAGAUCCCCCCCAGGGGGAGGAGGAUUAUUAGUCACAUUAUCAAACUCCCCUCCAACCCCUUUCUCUGCUUAGAGGUAUGUGUAAUGUGUAGUAGAAAGACCGAAUCCCCACCCAAAAGUCCUUACUGCUACUCAUGUUUUUAACCUUCUGUUCUUUUCCUCUACCCUACUCCCUAAUAAUGACCGCCAUCAUUUAUCUACUGCUUAAUGGAUACUAGGCACUGUGCUAAGGGUUUUAUGUUUUACUUCAAUCUUUUCAUCGGCUUUAUUUUGAUAGUUUGUUUUAUAGAGGAGGAAACAGACUUAGGUAAGUUACAAGAUGACAAGGUUACUACCUUAUUCAGUUAGUAGUCAGCAGCUAGUAUAUCCAAAGAUAGUACGAGUCAGAACUAGGAUUAUAAACUCAGGGCUACCUGAAACUCACAACUUCAGGCAUCUUUGAUUUCUUCUUUUCACCCACAGCCAAUUCUUCAACUAAAUUGUAUCCAUUCUGUUUUCACCGUCUCUUGUACUGGUCUCCUUUCUAUUGUAACUGUCACCAUCCUAACUCAAGAUCCUUCUGUAGCUUUCCCCGGUUAUUGGAAUAUCCUUAUUACGAUUGCCACCUUUUCUAAUCCAGUCUGUUUACUACUGCUGGGUUAAUUUCCCCAAACUGCAUGUCUGGGGAAUAACCUUGUGGUUAUGACAAAAUUCCCAAAGGAAAGCAAACUUGGCAAGGUGCAAAGACUAUGAAGACUUAGAACUUAAGAGUUCUAUGGAGAUCUUCAGAGAUAUAAAUUAGCUACUCAACAUAUCUGUUAUUCUGCCCUGAUUGCACUGUAAAGCAAAAGGAGAGAGGCCAUUAUGGGGAAAAAGAUCCAAAAGGACUCAUCUAAAACACAAGUUGGGUAGAGGAGAUA
rnacentral:lncRNA from 1 species